UACGUAGGGUGCGAGCGUUGUCCGGAAUUAUUGGGCGUAAAGAGCUCGUAGGCGGUUUGUCGCGUCGACUGUGAAAACCUACAGCUUAACUGUGGGCUUGCAGUCGAUACGGGCAGACUUGAGUUCGGUAGGGGAGACUGGAAUUCCUGGUGUAGCGGUGAAAUGCGCAGAUAUCAGGAGGAACACCGGUGGCGAAGGCGGCUCACUGGACCGGUAUUGACGCUGAGGUGCGAAAGCGUGGGGAGCAAACAGG
rnacentral:rRNA from 1 species